rnacentral:rRNA from 1 species
AACGAACGCUGGCGGCAUGCCUAACACAUGCAAGUCGAACGAUCCCUUCGGGGAUAGUGGCGCACGGGUGCGUAACGCGUGGGAACCUGCCCUUAGGUUCGGAAUAACUCAGAGAAAUUUGAGCUAAUACCGGAUAAUGUCUUCGGACCAAAGAUUUAUCGCCUUUGGAUGGGCCCGCGUUGGAUUAGCUAGUUGGUGGGGUAAAGGCCUACCAAGGCGACGAUCCAUAGCUGGUCUGAGAGGAUGAUCAGCCACACUGGGACUGAGACACGGCCCAGACUACUACGGGAGGCAGCAGUGGGGAAUAUUGGACAAUGGGCGAAAGCCUGAUCCAGCAAUGCCGCGUGAGUGAUGAAGGCCUUAGGGUUGUAAAGCUCUUUUACCCGGGAUGAUAAUGACAGUACCGGGAGAAUAAGCCCCGGCUAACUCCGUG